rnacentral:rRNA from 1 species
CAAGUCGAACGAGAACUUUCUCUGUAGCAAUACAGAGGAAGUUUUAGUGGCGAACGGGUGCGUAACACGUGGGCAAUCUGCCUUAAAGUGGGGGAUAGCUCGGCGAAAGCCGAAUUAAUACCGCAUGUGGUCAGCCAAGACAUCUUGGCGAAACCAAAGCCGGGGCAACCUGGCGCUUUUAGAGGAGCCCGCGGCCUAUCANCUAGUUGGUGAGGUAACGGCUCACCAAGGCUAUGACGGGUAGCUGGUCUGAGAGGACGACCAGUCACACUGGAACUGAGACACGGUCCAGACACCUACGGGUGGCAGCAGUCGAGAAUUUUUCUCAAUGGGGGAAACCCUGAAGGAGCGACGCCGCGUGGAGGAUGAAGGCUUUCGGGUUGUAAACUCCUGUCAUUUGGGAACAAGGUGCACAUGUUAACUGCGUGUGCAUUGAUAGUACCAGAAGAGGAAGAGACGGCUAACUCUGUGCCAGCAGCCGCGGUAAUACAGAGGUCUCAAGCGUUGUUCGGAUUCAUUGGGCGUAAAGGGUGCGUAGGUGGCGCGGUAAGUCGGGUGUGAAAUCUCGGAGCUUAGCUCCGAAAUUGCAUUCUAUACUGCCGUGCUUGAGGACUGGAGAGGAGACUGGAAUUCAUGGUGUAGCAGUGAAAUGCGUAUAGAUCAUGAGGAAUACCAGUGGCGAAGGCGGGUCUCUGGACAGUUCCUGACACUGAGGCACGAAGGCCAGGGGAGCAAACGGGAUUAAUACCCCGGU